AGGGGGUGAGGAUAGAAGGUUUGGGCCUUAGAACCAAAUAGCUCCAAGCAAAUCGGAUCCAAAUCCACGGGUUCAUGAUCCAGGUCUAUGCAUCAAACUGAACCAGGUCAAUGCAUCGAUUCUCAGCAGUGCAAACAAAAUUUUCACCCUUCAUCCACAAUCUCACGCGUUCUCUCCCUCUCUCAUAUCAUUUCAAAAAACUCGAUGAACACUCAAAUCAAUUUCAAAGUUCAAGCUUCAAAUCAACAUCUAACCUCACCGAAUUGCUGGUGCAUGCGAGGUAUGAGAAGAACGCGAAAUCGCGACACACAGAUCAUGGAUUGAAGCAAGAAGGCAGAAGGAAACUCACCGGAUUCAAAUCUUGACCCGGUGGAAAAAACAGUUUCCACUUGGUGCUGCGGGGCUUGGCGUGUUGCUUGCCUUGAAGUCCUUCUGCUAUUUGAUGGCAUGCUUGGAAUAUGUGUGCAACUGACUUGUUUAGAAUUAAAUUGGGAGUUUGGGAUUGGAUUAUAGGUUGUAUAUGGCUUGAUCCUUUGUAGUGAUUUGUAAUGGGAAUGCAUUUAAUGUGGGAAAUUGUAGUUUAGGGAAUGGAAUUAUAAUGGAAUGUUUAUGAAAUUGAAUUUGUAUGGAACAUGUAAUUGAAUUGUAUGGCUAUUGAAUUGAAUGAAUGGGAUUAUGUGGAAAAUUGUAUGAGA